GCUGGAUCCUGGAGGAACUGCAAGGACUCUGACUGGAUUCUGAGGCAGUGAGAAGUCACAGAAGGACAUAAGCGGGCAGUUGGGGAAUGAAGACAUUUAAACCAAGAUAUGAAGCAUGAGUAGAAGUUAACUGGAUGAAGAGUGGACAUGGAAGAGUAACUGGAACAGUAGCAGGAACAGUAUGUGCAGGAACGAUCGUAGGCUCUUUGGGUGUUAGACUGCCGUCUUCAAUCAUUCAUUUGUUCAUCGAUGGAGCAAAUACUUAAUAUGUAGCUGUCACAAGUGGAUGCUGUGCUGAGACCCAGGGGUGCAGGGAUGCAUGAGACCUCUUCCUUGCCUUCAAGGCACUGACAGCCUGCUCUUCUCUUCACAAUCUGAUGGUCUCAUUCAGAUUUGUGUCUCUCAAGAUCACUGACACAGAAGGGGCUCAAGAAGGUGCUUAAUAAAUGCCGGUGGGUUGAGAAACUGCUCCAGCUAUGAACCCAGAACUGUGCUGUGACACUGUGGGUGUGCCUUACA